ACCUCAAUGAUUUCUACGAGUCACUCUGGUUAUAUACGCUAUUCUGAUUGCAGCUGCUGAAAAAGUAGUAUUUAUGAGAGUU
rnacentral:snoRNA from 1 species